UAGCACUUGACGGUGUUAGACUUAUCCCAUAUAGAGUUUUCACUAAAUUUUGGGAUCUGCGAAGCACUUGAGGUGUUAAAGAUGGAAGAUUGUAUUAUCGAUUACCUUUGGAGUUCUUUGCCGGAAUCUUUAUGACGUCUGACAACCAGAAAUUCAUUGAUAUAUCCUGUGGAUGACCCUGAUACCCGGCCAUAUAUUUCUGCUCCAGGUCUGGUUAGCUUAGAAGUAUCCGACUGAUUGUAUUCGACUCCAUGGCUUGAUGGACUGCCGUCAUUGAUGACAGCAUAUAUCAGGGUCGCAGAAGAUUGUGAAGAUUGUUGUUCUGAAUUUCGCAACUUUGGGGAAUGUGGCGAAAAGUCAUGUGAGGGGUGCCAUGAUGAAGAUGAUUGUCUGCUUUUUCUCAAAGCUUUGUCGGGUGCUACGAAUUUAGAGCUAAUGAGUGCAACAUAUCUGAAUUUUGGAAAGGACUUGAAAUGGUUCCCUGUGUUUAGCAAUCUGAAAACAUUGUUGCUCAAUGAGUCAAUGAUUGGUGUCUGGCUUCAUACUUCAAUGGACUAGUUUACUUUCUCCAGAACUCACCAAUUCUUGAGAAGCCCUUCAAGUUAGAUUUUUGCAAGAGUUUGUUUGCUGCAGGAAUCUGACACCAUAAUGGGUGAAUUUGACUACCCAAGGAAUCAAUUCUUUGUAUCCAAGCAUCUCAAGGUAAUUAAAAUCAAAUGCCGGAAGCAAAAUAAAUGGAUUCACCAAAUAUUAAAUGUCCUCAGUUACCAUGGAGUUCAAUCUGAACUAUUUACCAUCAAAGAGAAGUUCCGGUGUUCUACAACAACAUACGGAUGGUACAAGGGAUCCAUGGUCCCCAAACAAGGGUAAGGGGCAAAAGGAGGCUCAAAGGUGAAGCAAGAGGCAAGAAUUGAAUGGAAGAAAAAGCCUGUCAGCAUUUGGUCUUGCGUGGGAAUCUGGUUUGAGACGAAGCUUAAGAGUACGGUCAAGGCCUUUGCAGGAGUGGCUCGGUGAAACAUUCGUAUAUGGGCGUAUACAUGGCACAAUGAGAGUCAUUGGCGUUAAAUUUUAUUCUCCCAGUCACGACGGCAAGGCUGCAUUGAGAGUGAAAUCCUUCGUGCUAGAACUAUAUUCAGAUGUACUGAGGCCCCCCCACCCCCCCGCAACGCAUCGAUGUGUUGCCGAAUGUCUAUAUAGGCGUUGCUAGUGUCUGCACCAACGCAAGCUGCAUGUGUUGAAUUUUGUGGCGUUGCAAGGAUCCAGUGCAACGCAUAUGCCUGCGUUAGUAAAAGCCAUGAAAAAGCGUUGGAAGAUUGCAACAUAUAUUUGCUGCAACAUAUAUUUGGUAACACUUCUGAUAACAACGGAUUUGUAUGCGUAAUUUUGGUAGUGUUGCAGCGGAUUUAUUACUACUCAUUACGAUGAUACGUAUGUUUUAUGGAAAGAACCUUUGCAUGCUA